UGAUGAUGAUGAUGACAGUGAUCGUGAUGCCGAUGAUGACAAUAGUGUUGAUGAUAAUGAUGAUGGCAAUGCUGACUGACCUUGCUGAAAUGUACGAUACUACUACUUUACAUGGUAAUCUUCGAGACCAUGUCUACACCAGCAAAUUAUACUAUUAAUGAAGGUGUGGCUGAUAAGAUCAAUGCGUGACUGACAAUUCCUUCUGCACCAUGUACACAGAUAGAUUACCUUCUGCUGCAAUGAUGGGCUGAUUGCCCAAGCUGCAUGGCGCCUUUUUGCUUCUUUCUCAGAGCCACAAUCUUCUCAAAACCUCAGCUCCAAGAAAAUCACCCCACUUCUGAUUGCUACACAUCUGUCUGAUCUGACAUUUGCUGCUGUCUCCCCAGUGUCCCCUGCCACACAGUUUGCCGGUUAACUGUUAUAUUACAAACCUUUGCAGGAAACCAAGGGGAGGAGAAUAGAAGGAAGCAGAGUACCCAAACAGCUGCUCUAUGGAGCCUUGCAAAGCACUCCAGCUGAGAGCCGUGUCUUCCUAUCACCCCACUCGCAAUCACGUUUCCUGGAGAGGGAGAAGAUGGAGGAACAGUUGGACUUGGUAGUGUCAGCUUCCAUAAUGGGGAAGAUUGGUUUGACAUUCAGAAAGCAAAUACAUUGUGCCUUUCUCUCAACUCCUUCUCUCCCUGCUCCUCCCACACCCAGUCUGGAAUCUGAAAGCUACAGAAACAUCACUACUGUUACAGAACCAAGCUAUAAUUUUCUGGCUAAUGGAAGAUGUAUUGGCAAAAGUUGACAUUAAGUGGAACUAAUUACGCUGUAACUGCUAAAUAACUAAGAAAUAACUAUCCUAUAAUUUAUAGCACUGUGUGGACUGCUCAGCAAAUUUGGAACUGCUGAACUGCAGAGCAUUCAAUGAUGCAUGGAGCUCCUAACUUGUCUCAGUCCAGGAGGACUCAGGAAAUGCAUAAUCACGAGCUGAGCAAACACUCGGAAUUGCAAUUCCAAGUAAUCUUUUCCUGCCUUUGGAAGAAUGGCUCUGUCCUGAUGCUCCUCUAAUGGGAAGCUUCUCCCCCAAAAUUGUAUGACUUCCAGUUGCAUACUGGAAUUCUUCACCUCAGCUCUAUUUUGUAUUCAGGUAGAGAUGGUGCAGAUCAGCAAGGGAUAUAUGACUAUCUGAAUAUAUUAUGAACCGAAGAAAGAAAGGGGACAGGAAAAGAGAAAGGGAAGAGGAAGAACCAAGGGAGGAAAUAAGGAAAGAAGGAAAGGGGGGGAAAGAAGAAAGGAAAGAAGGAAAGCAAUAAGUAAAGGAAGGAAGGAGGAAAGAGAGGAAAAGUGCAAGGGGUGAUGGUGGUGUAAGAGUACAAAAAAAAUGAGAAAAAAAUCAAGAGGUUAAGCCUAUUAUUUCUUUUACAAAGAUAGAUUCUGGGGGUUCAGAAUGAACCCCAGGAACCAUAUAAUAAAACCUCACUCAUAAACGAUUGUAGGCAGUUCUGAGUUUUAUUUGUAAUAAUUUCUUUUUCAGCUUGGUUUCCCAAAGAAGGUUAUAUGAGUGUGGAUUAAGGAGCUCAGGGGGAGGGAGGAUGCUUUUUAAAGGGGUAGAGGGAACACAUUUGUGAGUGCAGAUGGGUGAGAAAAGUAGAGAGUGCCCAGGGAGGAAAGGAGGAGAAAGGGAGACAGAGGAUAGGCAAUGGGGAGGAAAGGGAUGUGGGAGAGUGAUAGAGAGGGAGAGGCGUAAGUCAGUGCUCGCCUCUGACUGAUUUGUUCUGCCUCCAUUAUCAUUCAGUAGAAAGACUCUUCCUUGCAAGAGGCUUUUCGAGAAAGCCUAAUAAUGUUCCACAGGUGAAGGAGUUAUCUCAGCUUUUCUCUUUUUCAGCAAAGCUAACACUCUGUACAUGAAAUAAAGGUUAUCUUGAAAAAUA